GACGUAGGGCGCGAGCGUUGUCCGGAUUUAUUGGGCGUAAAGAGUUCGUAGGCGGUUUGUCGCGUCGUCCGUGAAAACUCACAGCUUAACCUGUGAGCUUGCGGUCGAUACGGGCAGGCUAGAGUUCGGUAGGGGAGACUGGAAUUCCUGGUGUAGCGGUGAAAUGCGCAGAUAUCAGGAGGAACACCGGUGGCGAAGGCAGCCCACUAAGCAACGAUUGACGCUGAGGCACGAAGCGUGGGGAUCAAACAGG
rnacentral:rRNA from 1 species